ensembl:lncRNA
AGCACCCUCAGACAUACAGGGCUCUGUUGAUGUACGUGUUUGUGUUUUUGGACGUGUGCUGGGUGUACGAACCAGCGCCUCUAUGAUGUGAUUUAAGUUGUUUUGCUCGUUUCUCGCCCACAGACAAAUGAUAAAACCCACCAUCAAUUUCCGGGAUAUUCUGGAAUGAUUUGGCAAUCUGGCAGGGACAAUUUGUGUGUUGUGUGUGUGACAAAUUUCCAUUUGACUCUCCAGCAGUCCUCCCUCCCUCCCGUCUCCAAAGGCCGCUCGUCCCACGUCGGGGGCACGCCAGCGGCUCGGAGGCUUCGUCGGCAGGCCUGUACUGCUCCUGUGCGCCUUCACUGUUCUCACUGACUGCGCAUGAGCAAAGAUUACCUCGCUCUAAUCCCUUUUGUGAGGGAACAUUCAAUGAACCGGACAGGCUCAUUCAUGGGUGCAGCUUUCAGGCAGUAAUGUGUCCCAUACAAACACAUACAAUUUGGGGGGCACUCUAUUUCAUAUUGAUCUAUGCCCAUUGAACUGAUGUUUCCGUGGCAUAUUGUGAACAGGAGCCUCGAGAACAUCGAUGGCCCGAGGGCCCUG